rnacentral:rRNA from 1 species
CAGUCGUACCGACGAGAAAUCAACCUUUCGAGUGCGUAACUUGUGGGCGUGCGUGAGUCUUUAACGGGCCUCGCUGUUUGCAAUGUUUGUACCUUUUGGGGUGUACUUUUUCGAUGGUAGCCAACGUCAGUUUCGAUCACCGUAAAUGAUCGGAGAAUGUAGCUUUGAUCUCGUAUUGAAGUGUUA